GGAAGUGUAGCCAAUGGCUGUAUUAGACGUAUGCAGUUGGAAAGGCGGUACAGACGUGUAUUUUGCAGGUUCGAAUCCUGUCGCUUCCU
rnacentral:tRNA from 1 species